rnacentral:rRNA from 1 species
AAACUAGGAUUAGAUACCCUAUUAUUAGAAAAUAUUAAGAUGUAAUUAGUAUAAGAUAAACUAGAAAUCUAAUUAAUUUGGCGGCAUCUUAACCUCCCUAGAGGAGCCUGUACUCUAAUCGAUAACCCACGUAAAAUCUUACUUGUUUUAAAAACUUAUAUACCAUCGUUGUUAGGAAACCUAAAAAAGGUCAUAGUUUUCUAGAAUAAAAUUUUCUACUCUCUUCAGAUCAAGGUGUAGUUUAUAAACAAGAUUGCUAUGGGCUACAAUUUUUAUAAAAGUAUAAAUAAGAAAUAAUUUAAAUGGAUUUAGAAGUAAAUAAAAAUUAAUAAGUUUAUUUGAAUAAAGCUCUAAUAUGUGUACACAUCGCCCGUCGCUCUUA